rnacentral:RNase_P_RNA from 1 species
CGCGCCCGAAAGGGUGAGGAAAGUCCGGACUCCGCAGGGCAGAGGGCCCGGCCGUCAAAGCCGGGAACGCGGCGGCAAUCGCCGCAGAUGGAAAGCGCCACAGAAAACAGACCGCCGCCGCAAGGCGGUAAGGGUGAAAAGGCGGUGCAAGAGACCACCGGGACGGGACGAGAGUCCCGUCCGCAUGGCAAGCCCCCCUCGGAGCAAGAUCAAAUAGGGGAUUGAACGGGCGGCCCGUCCGGUUCGCCCUCCAAGGGUCGGAAUCCGGUUCCGACACGGAGGCGCGGUGAAAUCCCGGGUUGAUUGCGUAGAUGAAUGACCGGAGCCGCCGCAAGGCGGUGAACAGAAUCUGGCUUAUUCGCCG